rnacentral:rRNA from 1 species
GGGACACGUGGUAUCCUGUCUGAAUAUGGGGGGACCAUCCUCCAAGGCUAAAUACUCCUGACUGACCGAUAGUGAACCAGUACCGUGAGGGAAAGGCGAAAAGAACCCCGGCGAGGGGAGUGAAAAAGAACCUGAAACCGUGUACGUACAAGCAGUGGGAGCACAGGUUUACCUGUGUGACUGCGUACCUUUUGUAUAAUGGGUCAGCGACUUAUAUUCUGUAGCAAGGUUAACCGAAUAGGGGAGCCGGAGGGAAACCGAGUCUUAAUUGGGCGUUAAGUUGCAGGGUAUAGACCCGAAACCCGGUGAUCUAGCCAUGGGCAGGUUGAAGGUUGGGUAACACUAACUGGAGGACCGAACCGACUAAUGUUGAAAAAUUAGCGGAUGACCUGUGGCUGGGGGUGAAAGGCCAAUCAAACCGGGAGAUAGCUGGUUCUCCCCGAAAGCUAUUUAGGUAGCGCCUCGUGAAUUCAUCUCCGGGGGUAGAGCACUGUUUCGGCUAGGGGGCCAUCCCGGCUUACCAACCCGAUGCAAACUGCGAAUACCGGAGAAUGUUAUCACGGGAGACACACGGCGGGUGCUAACGUCCGUCGUGAAGAGGGAAACAACCCAGACCGCCAGCUAAGGUCCCAAAGUCAUGGUUAAGUGGGAAACGAUGUGGGAAGGCCCAGACAGCCAGGAUGUUGGCUUAGAAGCAGCCAUCAUUUAAAGAAAGCGUAAUAGCUCACUGGUCGAGUCGGCCUGCGCGGAAGAUGUAACGGGGCUAAACCAUGCACCGAAGCUGCGGCAGCGACGCUUAUGCGUUGUUGGGUAGGGGAGCGUUCUGUAAGCCUGUGAAGGUGUGUCGUGAGGCAUGCUGGAGGUAUCAGAAGUGCGAAUGCUGACAUAAGUAACGAUAAAGCGGGUGAAAAGCCCGCUCGCCGGAAGACCAAGGGUUCCUGUCCAACGUUAAUCGGGGCAGGGUGAGUCGACCCCUAAGGCGAGGCCGAAAGGCGUAGUCGAUGGGAAACGGGUUAAUAUUCCCGUACUUGGUGUUACUGCGAAGGGGGGACGGAGAAGGCUAUGUUGGCCGGGCGACGGUUGUCCCGGUUUAAGCGUGUAGGUGUGUGUUCCAGGUAAAUCCGGUUCACUUUAACACUGAGGCGUGAUGACGAGGCACUACGGUGCUGAAG